UACAGGGGGUUGACUCGUGGAGUCUAGACACUUUGAGGAUUGUUCAAAGUGGGUUGAAGAUUGCAGAAGAGGGGAUAUCUUGUUGCAGAUCUUUGUUGUUUGUAUUGCCUAUAUUUUGGUUAGAGGGUUAGAGAGGUGUUUUAUAUUUUGACGUGGAGAUCUCUAUAAAAGCCUUGUUAUAAAAACCCUGACCAUUAUAGUGCAUUUUCUUCUUGGGAUUGGAAGGACACUAGAUUGAGGCCUGAUGGGUGUCGCCGCCCAUACAAAUUUGAUUGCAAUUAGGAAUGCAGUAUAGACUAGGAAGUGACUCCUAGGUCGUCUCUCAAGGACCAAAUGUGGUUCGAGUCUUAGGUCUAACACGAAGGGGGGGGGGUUGUGAAAGGUUUUUGUAAGGAAAAUUGAAUUAAAUUAACACUGAAAAUUAAAUACAACCAAACAUAAUUGAAACAGAUGGACACUAAAACUAACAUUACGACUAAAUUAUCACUAGCGAAAAUACUAGACAACAUUAAAAUAAAAGAAAAUACUAAACUUAACACUGCAACCGAUAAAUAACCAAAUAUAAUUAAAGCUAUUAAAAUGCAUUGAGUAAGCUAAAAAAAUCAAAAGCAAUUCAUCAUGAAAAUGACAAAAGAAUGCGUUGACAAUAAAGAUAAAAAUUAAAUGAGUAAGCUGCUUAACUUGAAUAUUCUAAUAACAAUAUAAUCUAAACAAAGAAAUGAUCUUGGCUAAUAAAAAUAAAAAAAAUAAAUAAAAAAGAACCUCUAAUAAGAAAACCGUGAUAGCAUUUCUCAAUGAGACUUAAAUGCUUCCAAUCAAAUCACCAUUUUUCAUGAGGUGUUGGAAAAAAAAAUUAAAGUACUACUAAUUAAUUAAAUUAAAGAAAGUGAAGUGCUUCCCUGCAUCAAUCCGUAACACAAUUCCAAGAAAGAUCCACACCUAAGCAUAAAUGAAAUGAGCACUUCUAAAAUAUAUAAAAAAAAAACGUAGAUAAUUAAAUAAAAGAAAAGAAAACAAAGUAGCUUUGAAAUCACCGUCCUGCACACUUCUAGCUACUGGAAUCGGCGCAUUUGAUCUUCCUUCUACCAAAUCUCCCCAAGAAAUUAAUCUUCUACAUAUUCCAGCAAUAUAAAACAAAUUCUGCAUGUUUCUCCAUGUCAAAUGAAGGAAAACCCGUGUACCGUUUGUUGUGGAAUAGAAAAUAAAUAAUAAAAAAAAUAAAAUUCAGCAAGGCUUGCACAAGAAUAAAAGUAAAGCAAAGUGCUCCUUCAUUUUUCAUAAUGUAGAUAUUAUCCACCGUGAAUGCCAUUCCCCAAGAAUAAAAAAAACGUGAAUGCCUCAUCCAUUGUCCAGCCAAAUCAUCCGAGUAAGUGGCGGCGGAACAGCAGCUAAAAGAAANGUUCCAGCCCAGAAUAUAAAAAUGAGAAUGACCGUUGNUGCCCCUUUCCCUAGGGCCAAGUGUCAUCUAUUCUAAAAUUUUGGGCCUAAACUAUUUUUCCAAAAAUUGGCCCAUUGUUUACAAAUUUAAUUAAAACUAUCUAGACUACUAACUUUCAAAGUAAUUAAAUUUGAAAUGUCCAUGUGAAGAGUCUUGACUUAUUUGAUAGCACUCCAAAUAUCCCAAAUUGAAUUUCCAAAUUUUUCCCUGAAAAUAAUAAUGCAAAUAAUUAGCUCAAAAUAUUCAAAUUAAUUAAAAUUAGAAUUUCUGGUCAAAUUAAGCACUAUUAGCGAAAACGGGAAAAUACCGGACAAUUAAGCACAAUUCCC
rnacentral:lncRNA from 1 species